UACGUAGGUGGCAAGCGUUGUCCGGAUUUACUGGGCGUAAAGAGCGCGCAGGCGGUCGGCCAAGUCGAGUGUGAAAGCCCCCGGCUCAACUGGGGAGGGUCAUUCGAUACUGGUCGACUCGAAGGCAGGAGAGGGAAGCGGAAUUCCCGGUGUAGUGGUGAAAUGCGUAGAUAUCGGGAGGAACACCAGUGGCGAAGGCGGCGAUCUGGGCAGAUACUGACGCUGAGGUGCGAAAGCGUGGGGGAGCAAACAGG
rnacentral:rRNA from 1 species